UAAUUCCAGCUCCAAUAGCGUAUAUUAAAGUUGUUGCAGUUAAAAAGCUCGUAGUUGAACCUUGGGUCUGGCUGGCCGGUCCGCCUCGCGGCGUGCACUGGUCCGGCCGGGCCUUUCCUUCUGGGGAAUCCGAUGGCCUUCACUGGCCGUCGGGGGAACCAGGACUUUUACUGUGAAAAAAUUAGAGUGUUCAAAGCAGGCCUUUGCUCGGAUACAUUAGCAUGGAAUAAUAGAAUAGGACGUGUGGUUCUAUUUUGUUGGUUUCUAGGACCGCCGUAAUGAUUAAUAGGGAUAGUCGGGGGCGUCAGUAUUCGGCUGUCAGAGGUGAAAUUCUUGGAUUUGCUGAAGACUAACUACUGCGAAAGCAUUCGCCAAGGAUGUUUUCAUUAAUCAGUGAACGAAAGUUAGGGGAUCGAAGACGAUCAGAUACCGUCGUAGUCUUAACCAUAAACUAUGCCGACUAGGGAUCGGACGGGCAACUUUUAAUAACCCGUUCGGCACCUUACGAGAAAUCAAAGUUUUUGGGUUCUGGGGGGAGUAU
rnacentral:rRNA from 2 species